UGCAACGAGGCUGUGUCGUUUGGUUCCUACGGCAGGUUGCGUGGCGGGCGGGCGACUGGCCAGACGGGUUUGCGGGAUGCACGAGGAGGGGCAGGGGGCCGCAGUGCCAGUGCCCUCUACAUGGGAAUGAAUAUGCAAGUUCUGGAAAAGCCUCACAAUACAGCAGCCCAUAUUAUUGGCCAACAUCAAUAGGCAGAAGUGCAUCGCUGCAAUCUAGUGCCUUCGGCAACUACACAGACUAAGCUUUGAAUGCCAGAUAGACACUUCAAAGUCACAGUACUAAAUCUCCAAAGUUUCUCUUCAAACGGGAUGUGUCUCAUCUGCCUGAAUUAACGUCCAUGACUUCUAUGCCAGUUGCACUUCUCAGGAAUGAUGGAGCUGUCCACAACAAGGACAAUAUUUAGAAUGAGUAGAAACAGCACUUUUUCAGUGGACAGCUCAUGGUUAUGGAACUCCCUUCCCCAAGAAAUUAGAAUGACUGACUCUCCCUGCUUUCAUGUGUAAGUGCAAGAUCCAACAUUUUCCCCUUAAUCCCCCCACCCCACCCACACACACCAAACAACCCUCUCCCCGAACCAAAGAGCUGGUGCCACAAACCCCUCUCUGUAAGUGGACAUAGGGGAGAGAGAGAGAAUCUGCAAUUUGCUAUCUGCAUCCAUUUGCUUGCAAUGAACUAAGAUGCACUGUGGUUACUGUGGUAAAAAUAUAUGGAUAGAAAGGUUAUUAAAAGUAGGUGGCUUUAAAUAACAAAUGUAAUUUUUUAAAAGUACUCAUGUUUGAAAACUUGACUUCAGGGGCUGGCUGGUUGAGGGCAUUUAUAAGGAGUCUUUCACAUAUAGGUCAACACUGAGUCAAACCCUAGUUGGUAGAAACUAAAAACUAUUUCCAUCUGCUGGUUGUUAUAGUGGCUUUGAUCCAGUUCUCAAGGGACAGAUGUCUACAUUAGGAGACAAAAACAGCAUCUCAGUUUACAUUAAUAAUAUUGUUGGCAUUCACAGCAGAAAGGCUUUACUCUUACUGAUGAACAGUUACUUAUAGUAGUAAGUAGUAGUGCCAUUAGCUUCAGUGUGAUUAUCACGUGGGUGACUGUUCACCAAUGUGAAUAAGGUCUCUACAAUCUGGGACCAAAUUUUUAGUGGGUUGUGGAAACUGAUUUUCACUGGCACUCUAAAACUGGUCUCUCCAGCACAGGGUUGAGAGCAGGGACACUAACACUGCUGUUGUCAGUGUUGUAAAUAUUCUUUGGAUAAAUAGAGGGCUUCAAUCCGUCAAUGUAGAACAUUUCAUCAGCACUGAAGGAAUAAACAAACAUGAAAAACAAACAAAAAACAAUUAUGUUUUCAUUAGUCCUUAGAACAUGAGACUUAGUGUUUGGAUGGAAAACAUGUUAUUUUUAAUAUUUUAUUUAUUUAUUUAAAUCCUUAAAUAACAGGUGCACCUUAGAAUCAUAAUAAGCAACACAGUAAUAAUCCAGAGUUAUGAAAAUUAUGUAAUAAAAGUAAACAGCCCUUUGCUUUCUAGAAUGGUGCCAGAGGAGGAAAUCUUUAUCAAGGAUGUUUUCUUUUUUAAAAAAAGCCCAUUUGGAAGUAACAGUUUUUCUUUUGCUUGGGGAAGUACAGUAUAUUGUCCUGACAUCAAGUAAGCUGACAUACUGUAAGGCCUACACCAUCUUAUGUAGGCCAAAAUCAAAUCAAACAGAAGGAUAUGUCUGAAUUUUGUUUAUAGUUGGACAACCAUUCCAGUUACCAGAUCUAUAAUGUGUGGUAUGAGCAGCAUCUGGAAGCAGCAAGAAAUCUGUUCAAAUUGUAUAUUGAAAUUGGUAAUCAUAUAGCCUUACAUGAGACUUGCUUGUACAAAGAGAGUUACUAGCGAGCUGCACUAUGCAUGGCAUUCUUAUAUUAUGUCUCUAUGCAGUUAGGUUGGGAUACCUUUUCCAUUGCCAGAAGUCCUGUGGGGAUCAGGACAGUGAAAACAUCAGGGGACAUCACUUGCCUUAUGCUUUUGAGUAAUCUCUAGUAAAAUUAGAUAAGGAUACUUUUUUUUAAAAGGACAUUACAUAUGUUGGUGGUAGGGCUCGCUGAAUGAACCCAGGGAAAAUCUAACUCCGCUGCACUGUUGUCUGCUGAACCUGGACUUCAUGAGGUAAGGCUCAGUGGUACCAGGAAGCUGAAGGCAGUCAGAGUGGAAGGAAGACCCUGAAAUAAUGUAAUGGAAGCACUGGCCAAGUUAGCACAGCAAGUAUAGAAGCAAACAACUUUCAUUCUAAUACUGGAAGUGAGGGGAGAGAGGUGAAUUGAGUACAGGUCAGUGAGCCUGAGUUCUAAUCCCAGCGCUCACACCAUCGGUCUGUGGAACUGGACUAACUUGUGGCCAGAAUUUCAAAUCAGCUGAGCACCUCCAGCUCCCAGUGAAGUCAGUUACUCAGCUUUCAGUUGCACUGAAGGCAGCUGGGGUUGCCCAUCACCUCUAAAACUAAAACCAUGAAUCUCGCCUUUAGUUUUUCUGUUGGUAAAAUGGUGCUUAAAAUACUCACCUACCUCUCAAGAGUCUUCUGUGGAUUAAUUAGUUAAUAGUUGUAAAACAGCAUGUGGGCCUGAUCCAACUCCUAUUAAUGUUAACAGGAAGCCUUCCACAGACUUUAAUGGGAGUUGAAUCAGGCUUUAUAACAAUAUUAAAAGUCGACCAACACAUAAAAUACUGCAAUACAAAACAAAAAAUAGACAUGGAAAUUAGUGUUUUACUGUCCUUCUGGCAUCAGUAGUGUUUCCAGCAUCAAAAUAUUGCCCUUUGUAUAGAAUAUCAUUUCUGUCCCUAGAGGCAGUCCAGGCUAAAAUGACUGUCAUAUUUUCAUUGUUACUGAAAAUUCAACCUAGGUAUUCAGUGUAGGUAUUUCUGGCUCCUGACAUGUUAUUUAGUGCCUGUUUAUCAACAUUUCUUUAUUCUUUUAAAAUAAAUUAAGUAUAAAUCUUUA